AUAGAACUGCCUUUCUUUUAUGCCUGCGACACUUAGGCCAACCGUUGCCACUAUGGUGAGCUGUUUGGUAAACUAGGGCUUCACUUUUUCCAUAUCCCGCUUUCUAACUCAGAACGCACUAAAAUCUAAAUCUCAAAAUAUUUUUCUUUUAAAAUUUCAAAUCCCUAAUUUCUCUCUUUUCACAAACAGAAUAUUAGAAAAUCCCAUUUCAUAUGAGUUCGAUUUCAACAAUCAAGCUUUGUUCAUUUUUAGAUUUCAACUAGUUUCAAUUACAUUGAAGUUCUUCAUUUUUAGAUUUCAAGGACGUUCAAUUUCAACUAGGUGUCAUUAAAUUUCUUCAUCUUUGGAUUCCAACGAGGUUCAAUUUCAAGGUGGUUCUUCAAUUUUUCAUUUUCAAGUUUCAUCGGGGUUUAAUUUCAACAAGGUUAGUUCAAUUUAUUUUAUUUUUGAAGUUGAUUCCUCUUCCCAUGGCUAUGGUUUUAUUGAUAAUUUUUAACAUAAGAACAAUUUUUAUUUUUCAAUGGCAUCGUAUCCUAUUUUGUUGUCGAGAUUGAAGGGUUUUCCAAGGCCGUAGUACCGUUCCCUGCACACCACCGCUGAAUUGUUUCUUGGGAACCACCGCGCCACAAAUUCUCCUUGACACUCCUGUGUCUAUCUGUCGUGUGGCCUCCGAACGUGUAAGGGUGUAUGUGUUUGUGUAUAUAUGUUAUUGUGUUGUGGUUGAUAUUUGUCCAAUGAGAAGUUUUUAUUUUCAAUAUUAAUCUAAGAUUGGAUUUUUUAUAUAAAUUGUUAUACAUUAAUUGUUUUUUUCCUGAGUUUCUAGCCGAUGAACUUAUUGGGUUGAUUCUGCAAUGUUUUUGAAUAUACAUUAUUGUUCACGUACCACACCUCAUUGCAAGUGCAAACUGGAUAUUUGGAGAACUAGACUCUGUUCAACCAAAGGUACAGGAAGUUUUUCCUCAUGCAAAGGUGGCUUGCUACAGACUCCAAUUUUCGGGGUUAAAUCAUUUGUCUUUUAGCUAAGUGUGGAGGAAAACAUAUGCGUGGUUUGAAAUGAUGGAGAUUUGGCUAUUGAAUCUCUUCCAAAUAUGAUUCAAGUAUUGGAGUAUUCCUAUACUUCUUGUGAUUGAUGCACCGCAACUGAUUUGUUAGUCAAGGAAACAACAUAACAAUACUGAUUGUGGAUACUAUGUGAUGAAAAAUAUGUUGGAUAUUGUCUCUGCCAAUAUAACUGAAUCUUGGAUGCAGGUAUUUAAUUAUCCUACAGAAUUGACACAAGAAGAUUUGUAUGAUUUGCGACUCCGUUGGACAAAAUGUUUCUUUGAGUUAUAUAAAGGAUAACUUUAUGUUUCUCGUGGAUGCGUGUUGGUUUUUCAAGUGCGCGAAAGUACUUUAUGUUUCUUUGAGAUAAUUAUCUUGUAAUAGAAAAUCGUGUGUAAACCUUUCUUAUCAUUUUGAACACUUGUUUAUUCUAGAUUAAUAUUUUUGUAUAUUUUGACGAACAUAUAUAUGCAUCUUAGCUAUUUGGUCUGUGUGUUGUGAGUAUAAAAUAUAUAGCUCUUUGGUCUGUGUGGUAUAUGCAUCUUAUAUUGAAAAUUAGGUACAGAAAAAAUUACAAGUUAAAACAGGAA